UACGGAGGAUGCAAGCGUUAUCCGGAAUCAUUGGGCGUAAAGCGUCCGCAGGUGGCCUUUCAAGUCUGCUGUCAAAGACCGAAGCUUAACUUCGGGCCGGCGGUGGAAACUGAAAAGCUAGAGGACAGUAGGGGUAGCGGGAAUUCCCAGUGUAGCGGUGAAAUGCGUAGAGAUUGGGAAGAACAUCGGUGGCGAAAGCGCGCUACUGGGCUGAACCUGACACUAAGGGACGAAAGCUAGGGGAGCGAAAGGG
rnacentral:rRNA from 1 species